GGCAUCAUCGUCUAAUUGGAUAAGACACUGGAAACUAAAAAUUUUUUGAAAUCUAGAAAUGCGGGUUCAAAUCCUGACAAUGCCACCA
rnacentral:tRNA from 4 species